rnacentral:lncRNA from 1 species
GAAGUCUCACAUCCCGUACGAGGAAAGAAGCUUCAUAUUACAACAGGCUGACAUGUUUUUAGCUCAAGAGUGGAGACUUCUGUCAAUCAUGUGGGAUCAUGAAUGCCUGAAAGGUUGGAGGUCCAUGCGUUGACCAAGAAGAACUCCAGCUGCUUCAGAUUGCUUGAUUGUCACUGAAAAGUACACUCAAUAUGAAGAAGAUUGCAGUUAACUGGAGAUUAAAAUUAGAUGUCUUAAUAAGGC